GAAUUAGUGGUCCAAUGGUUAAGACGUAGCUUUUUCACGGCUAAUAUUGCUGGUUCGACCCCAGUCUAGUUCG
rnacentral:tRNA from 6 species